CAUUGAAACACCGGUUUCUGUACAAUCACCGAAGCUGAGCAACGUCGAGCCCGGUCAGUACCAAGAUGGGUGACCGCUUGGGAAUACCAGGUGCUGUAAG